rnacentral:rRNA from 1 species
CAGCAGCCGCCACGGUAAUACGAAGGGGGCUAGCGUUGUUCGGAUUUACUGGGCGUAAAGGGUGCGUAGGCGGAUUGUUAAGUCAGGGGUGAAAUCCCGAGGCUCAACCUCGGAACUGCCUUUGAUACUGGCGAUCUUGAGUCCGGGAGAGGUGAGUGGAACUGCGAGUGUAGAGGUGAAAUUCGUAGAUAUUCGCAAGAACACCGGUGGCGAAGGCGGCUCACUGGCCCGGAACUGACGCUGAGGCACGAAAGCGUGGGGAGCAAACAGGAUUAGAUACCCGCGUAGUCCCUGUCUCUUAUAC